AUUUGGACACCAAUUAAACCAUUCGGCAAUAAAGAAUAACUACAGUUCUCUCUCUCUCUUUUCUUUUCCAGGAGAGAGACUGAACUAUUUCUUAAAAACAUGGUCUCCUGUUUUUAUUAAUCAAUAUGUGCGUAUGCCAGGAUGAAGUCAUGAGGAAGAGACGUUCCUGAAUUGCUUUACCACACUCUGCUCAAUGCGCCUUUCAUUCUCGUGACAUUUGUAGAGCUGCUCAGACACAUUCCUUCCACCACCACCACUCCUUUUUCCCGUGAAGAGUGAUCACUCUAGGGUUCUUUCGUAGCCCAGCCAGGACUGCCUAAUGAAACCCAGAGAUAUUAUGGACAUGGAUUGGAACUGUGAGUUUGCAGAGGGACACGUUCUGAAAGAGAAAUGAGUGUGUUCUGAGAAGAAAAAGGGGGUAUCUGUAAUCUACAAAUCUGAAAGCUGUCUUGAAGAGAGGGGAACAGCUUCAGCAGGAGACAUUGAGAGAGCCCCACAGCAGAAUAUCCCAUGGCUCAGUGGCUGGGGCACUCACCUGAGAGGUGGCAAAGCCCUAUUCAAAUUCUCUCUCCUUCCUAGACAGAGGAGGGACUUGGUC